rnacentral:rRNA from 2 species
GGGUUGUGAGGUUAAGCGACUAAGCGUACACGGUGGAUGCCCUGGCAGUCAGAGGCGAUGAAGGGCGUGCUAAUCUGCGAUAAGCGCCGGUAAGGUGAUAUGAACCGUUAUAACCGGCGAUACCCGAAUGGGGAAACCCAGUGUGAUUCGUCACACUAUCAUUAACUGAAUCCAUAGGUUAAUGAGGCGAACCGGGGGAACUGAAACAUCUAAGUACCCCGAGGAAAAGAAAUCAACCGAGAUUCCCCCAGUAGCGGCGAGCGAACGGGGAGGAGCCCAGAGCCUGAAUCAGCAUGUGUGUUAGUGGAAGCGUCUGGAAAGGUGCGCGAUACAGGGUGACAGCCCCGUACACAAAAGCGCAUGUGCUGUGAGCUCGAUGAGUAGGGCGGGACACGUGGUAUCCUGUCUGAAUAUGGGGGACCAUCCUCCAAGGCUAAAUACUCCUGACUGACCGAUAGUGAACCAGUACCGUGAGGGAAAGGCGAAAAGAACCCCGGCGAGGGGAGUGAAAAAGAACCUGAAACCGUGUACGUACAAGCAGUGGGAGCACAGGUUUACCUGUGUGACUGCGUACCUUUUGUAUAAUGGGUCAGCGACUUAUAUUCUGUAGCAAGGUUAACCGUAUAGGGGAGCCGGAGGGAAACCGAGUCUUAAUUGGGCGUUAAGUUGCAGGGUAUAGACCCGAAACCCGGUGAUCUAGCCAUGGGCAGGUUGAAGGUUGGGUAACACUAACUGGAGGACCGAACCGACUAAUGUUGAAAAAUUAGCGGAUGAUCUGUGGCUGGGGGUGAAAGGCCAAUCAAACCGGGAGAUAGCUGGUUCUCCCCGAAAGCUAUUUAGGUAGCGCCUCGUGAAUUCAUCUCCGGGGGUAGAGCACUGUUUCGGCUAGGGGGCCAUCCCGGCUUACCAACCCGAUGCAAACUGCGAAUACCGGAGAAUGUUAUCACGGGAGACACACGGCGGGUGCUAACGUCCGUCGUGAAGAGGGAAACAACCCAGACCGCCAGCUAAGGUCCCAAAGUCAUGGUUAAGUGGGAAACGAUGUGGGAAGGCCCAGACAGCCAGGAUGUUGGCUUAGAAGCAGCCAUCAUUUAAAGAAAGCGUAAUAGCUCACUGGUCGAGUCGGCCUGCGCGGAAGAUGUAACGGGGCUAAACCAUGCACCGAAGCUGCGGCAGCGAACGUAUCACCCAAGACAACUUUACGGAGUUGACGAUUGACGGAGCGAAGCGACGUCAAAGCGUUCAUUAAAGUCGAGUUGGCUUAGGGAUACGUUCGUUGGGUAGGGGAGCGUUCUGUAAGCCUGUGAAGGUGUGUCGUGAGGCAUGCUGGAGGUAUCAGAAGUGCGAAUGCUGACAUAAGUAACGAUAAAGCGGGUGAAAAGCCCGCUCGCCGGAAGACCAAGGGUUCCUGUCCAACGUUAAUCGGGGCAGGGUGAGUCGACCCCUAAGGCGAGGCCGAAAGGCGUAGUCGAUGGGAAACGGGUUAAUAUUCCCGUACUUGGUGUUACUGCGAAGGGGGACGGAGAAGGCUAUGUUGGCCGGGCGACGGUUGUCCCGGUUUAAGCGUGUAGGUGUGUGUUCCAGGUAAAUCCGGUUCACUUUAACACUGAGGCGUGACGACGAGGCACUACGGUGCUGAAGCAACAAAUGCCCUGCUUCCAGGAAAAGCCUCUAAGCAUCAGGUAACAUCAAAUCGUACCCCAAACCGACACAGGUGGUCAGGUAGAGAAUACCAAGGCGCUUGAGAGAACUCGGGUGAAGGAACUAGGCAAAAUGGUGCCGUAACUUCGGGAGAAGGCACGCUGACACGUAGGUGAAGUGAUUUACUCAUGGAGCUGAAGUCAGUCGAAGAUACCAGCUGGCUGCAACUGUUUAUUAAAAACACAGCACUGUGCAAACACGAAAGUGGACGUAUACGGUGUGACGCCUGCCCGGUGCCGGAAGGUUAAUUGAUGGGGUCAGCGCAAGCGAAGCUCCUGAUCGAAGCCCCGGUAAACGGCGGCCGUAACUAUAACGGUCCUAAGGUAGCGAAAUUCCUUGUCGGGUAAGUUCCGACCUGCACGAAUGGCGUAAUGAUGGCCAGGCUGUCUCCACCCGAGACUCAGUGAAAUUGAACUCGCUGUGAAGAUGCAGUGUACCCGCGGCAAGACGGAAAGACCCCGUGAACCUUUACUAUAGCUUGACACUGAACAUUGAGCCUUGAUGUGUAGGAUAGGUGGGAGGCUUUGAAGUGUGGACGCCAGUCUGCAUGGAGCCGACCUUGAAAUACCACCCUUUAAUGUUUGAUGUUCUAACGUGGACCCGUAAUCCGGGUUGCGGACAGUGUCUGGUGGGUAGUUUGACUGGGGCGGUCUCCUCCUAAAGAGUAACGGAGGAGCACGAAGGUUGGCUAAUCCUGGUCGGACAUCAGGAGGUUAGUGCAAUGGCAUAAGCCAGCUUGACUGCGAGCGUGACGGCGCGAGCAGGUGCGAAAGCAGGUCAUAGUGAUCCGGUGGUUCUGAAUGGAAGGGCCAUCGCUCAACGGAUAAAAGGUACUCCGGGGAUAACAGGCUGAUACCGCCCAAGAGUUCAUAUCGACGGCGGUGUUUGGCACCUCGAUGUCGGCUCAUCACAUCCUGGGGCUGAAGUAGGUCCCAAGGGUAUGGCUGUUCGCCAUUUAAAGUGGUACGCGAGCUGGGUUUAGAACGUCGUGAGACAGUUCGGUCCCUAUCUGCCGUGGGCGCUGGAGAACUGAGGGGGGCUGCUCCUAGUACGAGAGGACCGGAGUGGACGCAUCACUGGUGUUCGGGUUGUCAUGCCAAUGGCACUGCCCGGUAGCUAAAUGCGGAAGAGAUAAGUGCUGAAAGCAUCUAAGCACGAAACUUGCCCCGAGAUGAGUUCUCCCUGAGACUUAGAGUCUCCUGAAGGAACGUUGAAGACGACGACGUUGAUAGGCCGGGUGUGUAAGCGCAGCGAUGCGUUGAGCUAACCGGUACUAAUGAACCGUGAGGCUUAACCUUACAACGCCGAAG